UACGAAGGGGGCUAGCGUUGUUCGGAAUUACUGGGCGUAAAGCGUGCGCAGGCGGCUGCUCAAGUCAGGGGUGAAAGCCCAGAGCUCAACUCUGGAACUGCCUUUGAGACUGAGUGGCUUGAGUACGGGAGAGGUGUGUGGAAUUCCCAGUGUAGAGGUGAAAUUCGUAGAUAUUGGGAAGAACACCGGUGGCGAAGGCGGCUCACUGGCCCGUAACUGACGCUGAGGAGCGAAAGCGUGGGGAGCAAACAGG
rnacentral:rRNA from 1 species